UGGGGAAUUUUCCGCAAUGGGCGCAAGCCUGACGGAGCAAGACCGCGUGAGGGACGAAGGCCUACUGGUUGUAAACCUCUUUUGAUAGGGAAGAACACAAUGACGGUACCUAUCGAAUCAGCACCGGCUAACUCCGUGCCAGCAGCCGCGGUAAUACGGAGGGUGCAAGCGUUAUCCGGAAUUAUUGGGCGUAAAGCGUCCGUAGGUGGUUUAUCAAGUCAGUUGUUAAAGCAUAGAGCUUAACUCUAUAUCGGCAAUUGAAACUGAUAGGCUAGAGUGCGAUAGGGGCAAGGGGAAUUCCCAGUGUAGCGGUGAAAUGCGUAGAUAUUGGGAAGAACAUCGGUGGCGAAAGCGCCUUGCUGGGUCUGCACUGACACUGAGGGACGAAAGCUAGGGGAGCGAAAGGG
rnacentral:rRNA from 1 species